rnacentral:rRNA from 1 species
UACGUAGGGUCCGAGCGUUGUCCGGAAUUACUGGGCGUAAAGCGUGCGCAGGCGGUUCGCUAAGACAGAUGUGAAAUCCCCGGGCUUAACCUGGGAACUGCAUUUGUGACUGGCGGGCUAGAGUAUGGCAGGAGGGGGGGUAGAAUUCCACGUGUAGCAGUGAAAUGCGUAGAGAUGUGGAGGAAUACCGAUGGCGAAGGCAGCCCCCCUGGGCCAAUACUGACGCUCAUGCACGAAAGCGUGGGGAGCAAACAGGG